CUUGCUCUGUCACCCAGGCUGGCGUGCAGGGCUGCAAUCAUGACUCACUGCAGCCUUGAAUUCUUGGGCUCAAGCGAUCCUCCCCGCUCAUUUUCCGGAGUAGCUGGGACCACGGGCAUAAGCAACUGCACCUGCCUACAACCAAAUUUUAAUCACCUGGUCUUGGCCGGGCGCGGUGGCUCACACCUGUAACACCAACACUUUGGGAGGCAGAGUUAGGUGGGUCACUUGAGGCCAGGAGCUCAAGACCAGCCUGGCCAACACGGUGAAACCCCAUCUCCACUAAAAAUACCAAAAAAAAAAAAAAAAUUAGCCAGGUACUUUGGUGGGUGACUGUAAUCCCAGCUACUAAGGAGGCCGAGGCAGGAGAAUCACUUGAACCCAGGAGGCGGAGGUUGCCAUGAGCCAAGAUUGCGCCAGUGCACUCCAGUCUGAGUGACAGGGUGAGACUCUGUCUCCAAAGAAACCGUAAUCACCUGGUCUCUAGUCUUUGGCUUUGACGCUGAACUGUCUGAGCUGACCCUGGUAGAAGGCACCAGAACAGGCCCACUGGAGGUCCGGGGCACUUGCUUUAAGAAUAAGUUCAGCUGGGCACAGUGGCUCACGCCUGUAACCCCAGCACUUUGGGAUGCUAAGGCGGGCGGAUCACGAGGUCAGGAGAUCCAGACCAUCCUGGCUAACACGGUGAAACCCCGUCUCUACUAAAAAAUACACAAAAAAUUAGCCGGGUGUGGUGGCGGGCACCUGUAGUCCCAGCUACUGGGGAGGCUGAGGCAGGAGAAUGGUGUGAACCCGGGAGGUGGAGCUUGCGGUGAGCCGAGAUCACGCCACUGCACUCCAGCCUGGGCGACAGAGGCUCCAUCUCAAAAAAAAAAAA
rnacentral:lncRNA from 1 species